UUAAGCGACUAAGCGUACACGGUGGAUGCCCUGGCAGUCAGAGGCGAUGAAGGACGUGCUAAUCUGCGAUAAGCGUCGGUGAGGUGAUAUGAACCGUUAUAACCGGCGAUUUCCGAAUGGGGAAACCCAGUGUGUUUCGACACACUAUCAUUAACUGAAUCCAUAGGUUAAUGAGGCGAACCGGGGGAACUGAAACAUCUAAGUACCCCGAGGAAAAGAAAUCAACCGAGAUUCCCCCAGUAGCGGCGAGCGAACGGGGAGGAGCCCAGAGCCUGAAUCAGUGUGUGUGUUAGUGGAAGCGUCUGGAAAGGCGCGCGAUACAGGGUGACAGCCCCGUACACAAAAAUGCACAUACUGUGAGCUCGAUGAGUAGGGCGGGACACGUGGUAUCCUGUCUGAAUAUGGGGGGACCAUCCUCCAAGGCUAAAUACUCCUGACUGACCGAUAGUGAACCAGUACCGUGAGGGAAAGGCGAAAAGAACCCCGGCGAGGGGAGUGAAAAAGAACCUGAAACCGUGUACGUACAAGCAGUGGGAGCCUCUUAAUGGGGUGACUGCGUACCUUUUGUAUAAUGGGUCAGCGACUUAUAUUCUGUAGCAAGGUUAACCGAAUAGGGGAGCCGAAGGGAAACCGAGUCUUAACUGGGCGUUAAGUUGCAGGGUAUAGACCCGAAACCCGGUGAUCUAGCUAUGGGCAGGUUGAAGGUUGGGUAACACUAACUGGAGGACCGAACCGACUAAUGUUGAAAAAUUAGCGGAUGACUUGUGGCUGGGGGUGAAAGGCCAAUCAAACCGGGAGAUAGCUGGUUCUCCCCGAAAGCUAUUUAGGUAGCGCCUCGUGAAUUCAUCUCCGGGGGUAGAGCACUGUUUCGGCAAGGGGGUCAUCCCGACUUACCAACCCGAUGCAAACUGCGAAUACCGGAGAAUGUUAUCACGGGAGACACACGGCGGGUGCUAACGUCCGUCGUGAAGAGGGAAACAACCCAGACCGCCAGCUAAGGUCCCAAAGUCGUGGUUAAGUGGGAAACGAUGUGGGAAGGCCCAGACAGCCAGGAUGUUGGCUUAGAAGCAGCCAUCAUUUAAAGAAAGCGUAAUAGCUCACUGGUCGAGUCGGCCUGCGCGGAAGAUGUAACGGGGCUAAACCAUGCACCGAAGCUGCGGCAGCGACGCUUAUGCGUUGUUGGGUAGGGGAGCGUUCUGUAAGCCUGUGAAGGUGGCCUGUGAGGGUUGCUGGAGGUAUCAGAAGUGCGAAUGCUGACAUAAGUAACGAUAAAGCGGGUGAAAAGCCCGCUCGCCGGAAGACCAAGGGUUCCUGUCCAACGUUAAUCGGGGCAGGGUGAGUCGACCCCUAAGGCGAGGCCGAAAGGCGUAGUCGAUGGGAAACAGGUUAAUAUUCCUGUACUUGGUGUUACUGCGAAGGGGGGACGGAGAAGGCUAUGUUGGCCGGGCGACGGUUGUCCCGGUUUAAGCGUGUAGGCUGGUUUUCCAGGCAAAUCCGGAAAAUCAAGGCUGAGGCGUGAUGACGAGGCACUACGGUGCUGAAGCGACAAAUGCCCUGCUUCCAGGAAAAGCCUCUAAGCAUCAGGUAACAUUAAAUCGUACCCCAAACCGACACAGGUGGUCAGGUAGAGAAUACCAAGGCGCUUGAGAGAACUCGGGUGAAGGAACUAGGCAAAAUGGUGCCGUAACUUCGGGAGAAGGCACGCUGAUAUGUAGGUGAAGCGACUUGCUCGUGGAGCUGAAAUCAGUCGAAGAUACCAGCUGGCUGCAACUGUUUAUUAAAAACACAGCACUGUGCAAACACGAAAGUGGACGUAUACGGUGUGACGCCUGCCCGGUGCCGGAAGGUUAAUUGAUGGGGUUAGCGGUAACGCGAAGCUCUUGAUCGAAGCCCCGGUAAACGGCGGCCGUAACUAUAACGGUCCUAAGGUAGCGAAAUUCCUUGUCGGGUAAGUUCCGACCUGCACGAAUGGCGUAAUGAUGGCCAGGCUGUCUCCACCCGAGACUCAGUGAAAUUGAACUCGCUGUGAAGAUGCAGUGUACCCGCGGCAAGACGGAAAGACCCCGUGAACCUUUACUAUAGCUUGACACUGAACAUUGAGCCUUGAUGUGUAGGAUAGGUGGGAGGCUUUGAAGUGUGGACGCCAGUCUGCAUGGAGCCGACCUUGAAAUACCACCCUUUAAUGUUUGAUGUUCUAACGUGGGCCCCUUACCGGGGUUGCGGACAGUGUCUGGUGGGUAGUUUGACUGGGGCGGUCUCCUCCUAAAGAGUAACGGAGGAGCACGAAGGUUGGCUAAUCCUGGUCGGACAUCAGGAGGUUAGUGCAAUGGCAUAAGCCAGCUUGACUGCGAGCGUGACGGCGCGAGCAGGUGCGAAAGCAGGUCAUAGUGAUCCGGUGGUUCUGAAUGGAAGGGCCAUCGCUCAACGGAUAAAAGGUACUCCGGGGAUAACAGGCUGAUACCGCCCAAGAGUUCAUAUCGACGGCGGUGUUUGGCACCUCGAUGUCGGCUCAUCACAUCCUGGGGCUGAAGUAGGUCCCAAGGGUAUGGCUGUUCGCCAUUUAAAGUGGUACGCGAGCUGGGUUUAGAACGUCGUGAGACAGUUCGGUCCCUAUCUGCCGUGGGCGCUGGAGAACUGAGGGGGGCUGCUCCUAGUACGAGAGGACCGGAGUGGACGCAUCACUGGUGUUCGGGUUGUCAUGCCAAUGGCACUGCCCGGUAGCUAAAUGCGGAAGAGAUAAGUGCUGAAAGCAUCUAAGCACGAAACUUGCCCCGAGAUGAGUUCUCCCUGACUCCUUGAGAGUCCUGAAGGAACGUUGAAGACGACGACGUUGAUAGGCCGGGUGUGUAAGCGCAGCGAUGCGUUGAGCUAACCGGUACUAAUGAACCGUGAGGCUUAACCUU
rnacentral:rRNA from 1 species